GGCUCACCUGGGGACUAACAACAACCUCUAGGGGCUUGCCAUCAAUUGACUGGCUUCAACUAAUUCCAUUCUUCUAGAAUGGAGAAUGAAUUCACUCACCCCUGAGUCACACCAAGUGGUGGCAUCCCAGCUAGCAUUCUGUUAGAAUAGGAGAAGGUGGGAGUGGGGGCUGCAUAAUACGGGCUGGGAAGGCAGUAUCCAUGGCUUCUUUCAUUUAUUUAUUUACAGGUUCCCUUUUUUGGAAUCAUCUUGUUUCAUGGCUUCUCUGCUCUUCAAGUCCCUACAGCUAGAGACUUCAACUCUCACGCUUGCCGCAGGGAUGUGUCCAUAGUUUGACAUUUCUGCAGACCUCAGCAGAACAGCUUUCUCCUACCACCACUAGACUUGUGUGACUCCUGA
rnacentral:lncRNA from 1 species